rnacentral:rRNA from 1 species
GGGCCCGCACAAGCGGUGGAGCAUGUGGUUUAAUUCGACGCAACGCGCAGAACCUUACCAGCCCUUGACAUCCCGCGACCGGCUCAGAGAUGGGCUUUCCCAGCAAUGGGCGCGGAGACAGGUGCUGCAUGGCUGUCGUCAGCUCGUGUCGUGAGAUGUUGGGUUAAGUCCCGCAACGAGCGCAACCCUUGCCUUCAGUUGCCAUCAUUCAGUUGGGCACUCUGGAGGGACUGCCGGCGGCAAGCCGGAGGAAGGUGGGGAUGACGUCAAGUCCUCAUGGCCCUUACGGGCUGGGCUACACACGUGCUACAAUGGUGGCGACAGAGGGCACAAGCGAGAGCGCGAGCUUUAGCAAAUCCUCAAAAGCCAUCUCAGUUCAGAUUGCGCUCUGCAACUCGGGCGCAUGAAGGUGGAAUCGCUAGUAAUCGCAGAACAGCAGGCUGCGGUGAAUACGUUCCCGGGCCUU